CGACGUAGUUUAGUGGUAGAACAUCAGCUUCCCAAGCUGAGAGUGCGAGUUCGAUUCUCGUCGUCGG
rnacentral:tRNA from 1 species